rnacentral:lncRNA from 1 species
GGUGAAACUGUAUUUUUGUAACUGUUAUUACUUAUUAUAAAUAAAUUUGAUUUAUUUAAUUUUUUGUCUAUUAAUUUUGUUUGGUUUAAAAAACCUGAACAAAAUGUUCAAACUGACUAAUGCUACGUUUUAGUAGACUAUUCAUGUUUCAUACUCUUUUUUUUUUAAUUUUUAAUUCUUUAUUUUGUUUGAGAUUACAAAACGUCUUAUUUUUAUUUUUUGAAUUGCUUUAAUAGUUGAAAUUAUGGAGCGGGGGCACUACUGAAAU